AUUGAACGCUGGCGGCGUGCCUAACACAUGCAAGUCGAGCGGUAACAGGUGUAGCAAUACAUGCUGACGAGCGGCGGACGGGUGAGUAACGCUUGGGAAUCUGCCUGUUAGUGGGGGACGAACCCGGGAAACGUCGGCGUAAUACCGCAUACGCACUACGGUGGAAAGACCGGGGACCGCAAGGCCUGGCGCUAACAGAUGAGCCCAAGUCGGAUUAGCUAGUUGGAGGGUAACGGCCUACCAAGGCGACGAUCCGUAACCUGGUCUGAGAGGACGACCAGUCACACCGGAACUGAGACACGGUCCGGGACUCCUACGGGA
rnacentral:rRNA from 1 species